rfam:Aedes aegypti strain Liverpool supercont1.81 genomic scaffold, whole genome shotgun sequence.
CCAUCGGUUCUUUUCAGAGCCAUCAAAUUAGUGGAAAAGAGUGAAA